GACCCUCAGCGGUGGAUCACUCCGUUCUCAGGUCGAUGAAGAAUGCAGCCAGCUGCGAGACUCUGUGCGAAUUGCAGGACACACUGAAGCACUUGCUCUUUGAACGCACAUUGCGGCCUCGGGCUUUCCCGUGGCUUCGUCUGUGUGAGGUUCG
rnacentral:rRNA from 1 species